ACCUGGUUGAUCCUGCCAGUAGGCAUAUGCUCGUCUCUAAGAUUAAGCCAUGCAUGUCUGAGUUCAUACCUAGUUAAUGUGAGACUGCGAAAGGCUCAGUACAACAGUUAUAGUUUAUUCGAUUGUGAAAAUCCAUUGGAUAACCGUGGAAAAUCUAGAGCUAAUACAUGCGAAAAAUGACCCAGCUGCCAUCUCGGUGGUAGUUGGGUGAUGCAUUUAUUAGAUUAGAACCAAUUGGCUAUAUAUUAAUUACCGUCAAAAGUAAUUGGUAUAUUGACCAGCGUGGUGAGUCUGGAUAACUGUGCCGAUCGUAUGGCCUGGAGCCGGCGACAUUUCGAUUAAAUUUCUGGCCUAUCAACUUGUUGGUAAGGUAGUGGCUUACCAAGGUGAUUACGGGUAACGGGGAAUCAGGGUUCGAUUCCGGAGAGGGAGCCUGAGAAACGGCUACCACAUCCAAGGAAGGCAGCAGGCGCGCAAAUUACCCAAUCCAGACACUGGGAGGUGGUGACGAGAAAUACCAGGUCGUUCCCAAAAGGAUUCGACACUGGAAUGAGUGCAAUUUAAGCAUUUCAACGNAGUAACAACUGGAGGGCAAGUCUGGUGCCAGCAGCCGCGGUAAUUCCAGCUCCAGUAGUGUAUCCUAACGUUGCUGCGGUUAAAACGCUCGUAGUUGGACAAGAGAGUAAGUUGGUGCGGGCGGGGAGUGUAAUUACGCUAUGUUUGUUCUAAUGUCACGAAGUUGAUGAGUGGUAUUCACAUUAUUGUGGAUGUUACUUGUUGAUGGGGUGUAUUAGUUGCAGGAUAGUAGUAGCGCUUGUCGACCAUGCUGCCAGGUUACUUGUAAUAUUUCGUGAGAAUGGCAUAUGGCCUUAAUUGUGUUGUAUGUUAUGUCUUACGUAGUGUGCCUUGAAUAAAUCAGAGUGCUCAAAGCAAGCUAAUUGCUUGAAUGUUAAUAACAUGGAACGAAUGUUUUGUGAAAGUCUAUACAUGGGGGUCUUGUUGCACUUGUGCAGGAAGCCUUUGUGUUGACAGCACCAACCACAAAGCGGAACAUUGGUUGCCGUCUUUGGGUGAGGAUUAAGAGGGGCAUUUGGGGGCAUUAGUAUUUGGCCGCGAGAGGUGAAAUUCUUGGACCGGCCAAGGACUAACAAGUGCGAAAGCAUUUGCCAAGUAUGUUCCCUUUAAUCAAGAACGAAAGUGAGAGGUUCGAAGACGAUCAGAUACCGUCCUAGUUCUCACCGUAAACGAUGCCAACCCGGGAUCAGUUCGGAUGUAUUUUAUUUGGAUCCAGGUUGGUCCCCCUGGGAAACCUUGAGUUUUUAGGUUCCGGGGGGAGUAUGGUUGCAAGGCUGAAACUUAAAGGAAUUGACGGAAGGGCACCACCAGGAGUGGAGCCUGCGGCUUAAUUUGACUCAACACGGGAAAACUCACCUGGUCCGGACAUCGAUAGGAUUGACAGACUAAUAGAUCUUUCAUGAUACGGUGGGUGGUGGUGCAUGGCCGUUCUUAGUUCGUGGAGCGAUCUGUCAGGUUUAUUCCGGUAACGAACGAGACCACGAUCUUCAUUUGGGGAUCUAAAAGGUAGAUUGUCAAUUUGCUUGUAUGCAAGUUGCGUUGCUUGGCAUAUUGUGAUGCAUUCACGUGUAUUGUGGUAUGCUCUAGUGAUUGUAGGUUGUCUAUGAGUGUUGCUAUCUUUGCCUUUUGGUGUGCGUACAGCAAUGUGCGUCCCUAUGGAGAGACAGCCGGAUAUAAAGCCGGAGGAAGCGUGGCAAUAACAGGUCUGUGAUGCCCUUCGAUGUUCAGGGCCGCACGCGCGCUACAAUGAUAACAACAGCGAGAGUCUGGACUGAAAAGUUCUGGGAAAUCUUGUGAAUUGUUAUCGUGAUGGGAAUUGAGCAUUGUAAUUAUUGCUCAUGAAAUAGGAAUUCCUUGUAAAUGUAUCUCACUUAGGAUACGUUGAAUGCGUCUCUGCCCUUUGUACACACCGCCCGUCGCUACUACCGAGUGAAUGGUGUCAUGAUGUUUUGGGACUGGACGUUGUUGGCAGUGCAAACUGCGGACGAUGCUAGGAGCAAGACAAAAUGGCGCAAUUUCGAGGAAGUAAAAGUCGUAACAAGGUUUCCGUAGGUGAACCAGCGGAAG
rnacentral:rRNA from 1 species